GUAAAAUGACGUUCAACAUCGUAGUCAGACUGCUACCUGAGUCCGGUGCUUCACUGACAAAAUAACAUACGCUUCGGGAGUUUAGUUGAGUUCGAGUGCUUCAGUCGUGACAGUUUUUAUUGAACAGAAAUAUUAUAAAGUUAUGAAUUUUAAUUAGGCAAAGAAAUGUUUGUCACAACGCUCAUGCCUGAGACGGCAGGUGCAUGCAAUUAGACGUUGAUUAGCGGGACAUUGUUGCUGAGGAAGAGGAAGCACGGCCGAGUCCUCCAAGGCAGAAAGUUGAUACUAAAGUUAAAGUACCAACAUAUUUAUGGAAGAAAAUGUAGUUUCCUUGUAUAAUAGUGGACAGAUGUUCAACACUGCUGCUACAAGACAGAAUAUAGAUUUGGGGAAUUGGACUAUUUGUGGGAUGAAGUUGAUGAUUCCACAGAGGGUGAAGGAGCACAACAGCCAGGCUUGCUGUAUAUUAUGGCCGUAAAGCAGGACAGACGAGCAUUGUGCAAGCGCAAUAACAAACUGUAGCUCAUAAAUGCUUUAGACUAAGGUUAUACCGUGUUUUGUCAAAUACAAUGCACUGUAGAGGUUGGUUGUUGGCUUUCACUGUAAAUUGCAAACCUUUAAAAAAGGAGAAACUCCUAAACAGCCUAGGGACUUUGUAUGAUUUCUUACUUACAUUUUACUUUUCUCAUGUCUGUUAGAAUAUGCAAUAGUUAUGCACCUGAAAUGACUUUUCUUGUAAAAGUGGGGCUGAAGUUGUACUUGGCCUAGUGUUUUCACACUACUGCCUGCUUUUUGUUGUUUUUAGUUUUUAAAAGUACAGCUUUAUCUGAUUUGUAUUUGAUAUACAGUACAUAGUGGCAUAUUGUAUUGAAACUUAGAAAAAAAGCAUACAGGUGUUCUGCAGUUGGAUAUGAUUCUGUAUUUUCCCUCUGCACCUUCUGGUUAAUACAGUAUAUAUAUUAAAUUACCAACACUUUUAUCAUUUA